rnacentral:tRNA from 1 species
UCCCAGGUGGCUCAGUGGUAAGGAAUCUGCCUGACAAGUAGGAGACGUAGGUUUGAUGCCUGGCUUGGGAA